rnacentral:rRNA from 1 species
GUGUCAGCAGCCGCGGUAAUACGUAGGUGGCGAGCGUUGUCCGGAUUCAUUGGGCGUAAAGAGCGCGUAGGCGGCUUGCCAGGUCUGAUGUGAAAGCCUGGGGCUCAACCCCAGAACUGCAUCGGAAACCGGUUUGCUAGAGUCUGGGAGAGGGGAGUGGAAUUCCUGGUGUAGCGGUGAAAUGCGUAGAUAUCAGGAGGAACACCGGUAGCGAAGGCGGCUCCCUGGAACAGCACUGACGCUGAGGCGCGAAAGCUAGGGGAGCAAACAGGAUUAGAUACCCUGGUAGUCCACGCCCUAAACGAUGUCAACUAGCCGUUGGGUCCACUUAAUAGGACUUGGUGGCGAAGCUAACGCGUUAAGUUGACCGCCGGGGGAGUACGGCCGCAAGGUUGAAACUUAAAGGAAUUGACGGGG